CAGCCGCCCGGUAAUACGGAGGGUGCAAGCGUUAAUCGGAAUUACUGGGCGUAAAGCGCACGCAGGCGGUCUGACAAGUCAGAUGUGAAAUCCCCGGGCUUAACCUGGGAACUGCAUUUGAAACUGUCAGGCUGGAGUCUUGUAGAGGGGGGUAGAAUUCCAGGUGUAGCGGUGAAAUGCGUAGAGAUCUGGAGGAAUACCGGUGGCGAAGGCGGCCCCCUGGACAAAGACUGACGCUCAGGUGCGAAAGCGUGGGGAGCAAACAGGAUUAGAUACCCCGGUAGUCCCUGUCUCUUAUACA
rnacentral:rRNA from 1 species